ensembl:lncRNA
AGCUGCUCAAGUGGUUCUAGCUGUUGGUGGGGUCCUGCAGAUGUGAUAGGCUCCUCCUCUCCAGCCCCUCCUCCCCACCCACCUCUCAGGCCCUCCUGGGAUAGCUGUCCUCCUCUGGGGCCCUGUACUUGCUCCCAGCCAUGGUGGCUAGGCUCACUGCUCUCCUCCUUUACCUCGUUUUCUCCUUGGCCAUCCUGGUCCAGACAGGAUAUGGAGACUUCGAUGGUUUUAAUCUGGAGGAUGCGCUGAAAGAAACUUCCUCAGUAAAGCGUGACUCAAACAAACAAGUCCACCAAGCAAACACAAGUGGUCGGCCAUGCACCACACUGACAAUCUUGCCUUCAGAAAAGUACACGCAUAUGAGACUAGCUGUGCCUCCAUCUACCUGUUUGUUCUGUUGUGCAAGGCUUGUGUCUUCUCGUCAUACGUGUGUCAUCUUCCUUUUACAUUUAGAAAAUUUCACAAUUUUCAUUAUGUUGAAACCACAAGAGAACAUGCAUCUGCCUUCGCCUUUUUUCUGCUGUACAAAAAGAGAACUCCGACCCGUUUCAUUCCUCUCACUGUUUUGUUUUGAGACAGGGUCUCUUGAUUUAGCCCGAGUUGUCCUGAAAUUCUCUGUGCCGAGAAGCCCGGCUUUGACUUGGGUCCAGUGCUAGAGCAACAGUGACUCUUGGCCACUGAUGUGCAUUUCUAGCUUCAGAACCCAUGACUUUUUAUGAUUCUUCAGUGUGAUCCCCACAAUGGCCUCGGGGACCUAUACUGAGACCAUUCUCACGAUGUGACUUCUGUAAACCAUAAAGCAGCCACUGUGUUUUACAAUCUGCUUCCUUUCGUCCUCCCUUCUCCCUUCAGAGAGCCACUUUAGCACCACGACUAGAAGGACAGGAACAACCAGAGCCUCAUCAAAUCCAGCAGGUAAUGAGGUGUGGGAAGUGAGGAAGGCCAGACUCACCUGAGAAGGGACACAAGGAGGGACUCAUUAGGACUCCAUCUGGGACAGGGUCAAAAGGAGCCAUGUAGAAUUUUUAGCUGCACAUAUGAAAAGUUAGCAAAGGCACCCAUGUGAAUGUUAGAUUUAAUUCAACAGAAUCCCAUCUG